rnacentral:rRNA from 1 species
UCAGCAGGGAAGAGUCAAGACUGUACCUGCAGAAGAAGCCCCGGCUACACUACGUGCCAGCAGCCGCGGUAAUACGUAGGGGGCGAGCGUUAUCCGGAUUCAUUGGGAGUAAAGCGCGCGUAGGCGGCCCGGCAGUCCGGGGGUCGAAGCGGGGGGCUCAACCCCCCGAAGCCCCCGGAACCUCCGCGGCUUGGGUCCGGUAGGGGAGGGUGGAACACCCGGUGUAGCGGUGGAAUGCGCAGAUAUCGGGUGGAACACCGGUGGCGAAGGCGGCCCUCUGGGCCGAGACCGACGCUGAGGCGCGAAAGCUGGGGGAGCGAACAAGAUUAGAUACCCUGGUAGUCCCAGCCGUAAACGAUGGACGCUAGGUGUGGGGGGACGAUCCCCCCGUGCCGCAGCCAACGCAUUAAGCGUCCCGCCUGGGGAGUACGGCCGCAAGGCUAAAACUCAAAGGAAUUGACGGGGGGCCGCACAAGCAGCGGAGCAUGUGGCUUAAUUUGAAGCAACGCGAAGAAUCUUACCAGGGCUUGACAUAUGGGUGAAGCGGGGGAGACCCCGUGGCCGAGAGGAGCCCAUACAGGUGGUGCAUGGCUGUCGUCAGCUCGUGUCGUGAGAUGUUGGGUUAAGUCCCGCAACGAGCGCAACCCCCGCCGCGUGUUGCCAUCGGGUGAUGCCGGGAACCCACGCGGGACCGCCGCCGUCAAGGCGGAGGAGGGCGGGGAGGACGUCAAGUCAUCAUGCCCCUUAUACCCUGGGCUGCACACGUGCUACAAUGGCCGGUACAGAGGGAUGCCACCCCGCGAGGGGGAGCGGAUCCCGGAAAGCCGGCCCCAGUUCGGAUUGGGGGGUGCAACCCGCCCCCACGAAGUCGGAGUUGCUAGUAAUCGCGGAUCAGCAUGCCGCGGUGAAUAAAGUGCCGGGCCUUGCACA